rnacentral:lncRNA from 1 species
CAGGAGAUAUAUAGGUUACAUUCUAACAGAGCUUGUUCUCAUACCCAAACUAGGCUCAGUAUUCCCACCAAUCCAAGCUGAAAAGAAAUCGGAUGGGAAGGAUGUGGGGGCAAAAUCCCGGGGAAUGGCAGUAUCAGGAUUGGAACACAGAUCAACAACCCAUUCGUUGCAUAAUGACAUGACUAGCUGUAUAGAAUUGCGUAGCAUCCUCAUUCCAUUAGUGGGUUCAGUCAUCAACUGGUGCUGCUGCUAUGGUCUGGAGUCGAUCGAGAUGGCCAUCUCACCUGAGAAGGCUGGCUCUCACGACAGAGAUUUUAUGGCCCCAGUGGGGAAACCAGGUGGAAUUGUUCAGUCAAAGACAAAAAGCAAGACAAUUUUGAAGAUGAAAAAUGAUAUGCAGGCCCAUGAGGACCAGUUUUCACAGGAUCACCUCAUACUUAGAAGAGUACAACUUCAAUAUGAAAUAAAGCAAAUCAACAUGCAGAUCAUCCUGGCUCUCUUUAAAGAUUGCCUCAAGCACGGGACUUUAGGGUCAGUGCCUGGCCAGCAGGGAGGAGUCUUGUCAGGCACAGACAUCAGGCCGCAGCGGGUGGCCCUGCUGCCUCCCUGGCCACUCUACAAUCCCUCUGAAAUAGAGUUAUCCUAGAAAGUGACAGAUUACCAGCCCUAGAGGCUACAGCCCAAUGCUGCCUCCAACAGACAGCCAAGAACACGCAGAGGUAAAGGAAGCCACAGCACCUAAUCUAUGACCCAGAGAAGCUACUCCAGGGAAAAGGAGCAGCCACAUUUCAAUUGGAUCAAUAUUUGGUCUUUGUUUUCAAAUCUGCCCUCAGGCUACAAUAGUUACACUCAUCUUUACUACUGUGUGGGCUUUGGUGGAAUAAAAAGUGUGGCCAUUUCCUACA